rnacentral:rRNA from 1 species
CAGCCCCACGGUAAUACGUAGGGUGCAAGCGUUAAUCGGAAUUACUGUGCGUAAAGCGUGCGCAGGCGGUUAUAUAAGUCAGAUGUGAAAUCCCCGGGCUCAACCUGGGAACUGCAUUUGUGACUGGCAAGCUAGAGUGUGGCAGAGGGGGGUGGAAUUCCGCGUGUAGCAGUGAAAUGCGUAGAUAUGCGGAGGAACACCGAUGGCGAAGGCAGCCCCCUGGGCCAACACUGACGCUCAUGCACGAAAGCGUGGGGAGCAAACAGGAUUAGAUACCCCCGUAGUCCCUGUCUCUUAUACA